UCAUGACCUGAGCUGAAGUUGGAGGCUUACCGGACUGAACCACCCAGGUGCCCCUAAAUGUCGGUUUUUCUACAUGAACUUCUGUAUUUUAAGUAAUGGUGCCCCCAUCAUUCGGUUCCAGCAGGACUGCUCAGCCUGUGCCUUGAUAGUGGCCAGGAAAGUCCAGGACCUCCAAAUGCAGCAUGCAGAGACAGUGGGUGAUGCAAAAUGAGGCCCUUUCUCAGAAAAUAAUUCAACCCGAAAAAGUAAGAGAUAUCUUGCAUUGAAUGUGGAAGAUUUCCCGGCCAGAAAUGAGAGGAAAGGGUUUCUAGCUGCUCCAGUAGAGAUGUUACUCUUCCUGUCCAGCAACCAAGGGCCGCUAUGGCAGAGGCGUGUGGUCCUGUUUGCUUUUCUUAUGUCGGUCUACGGGGCUGCGGGCACCAGCAAGAGGCUGUAUUCUCACCCUGGGGCUGGCUCUCAGUGAGAGAGGCACUGAGCCCCUGCAAGGUGACUCCUUCUUCCAGACACUGCAUCUUGGCCUGGUUUGGCUUUGCCCUCCCAUGUACGUUCAUGUCACAUAUUUCCAGAUUUUUUCCAGAGGCAGCAAGGCAAAGCUCUUCCUGCUAAAACAUGAAGGGAGGGGCCUUGCUGUAUGAGAGCUAGUAACCAUGAGGAAAAGGUUUUUGCUUUAUAAUUUUAUUCAAAAAGAAACAAAAGACACCCCAAACAAAAACAACCAUACAUGUUGCACACAAAACUGCAAAAAAAUACUUUUUAUAGGAUUAAGUCCUAAUUCCUGUAUCAGAUGUGAGUUGGUGUUUCAACAACAGCUAAUUCAAGGGAGGUUCAAGGCCGUACAAAAGGGAGCCUUCGUAUUUUAGCACAGCCGCGAAAAUACACAUUUGCCUGUGAGCGCUCAGGAAACAAAGUCCAAUCUGAAAGAAAUUAGUCUCAUGAUAUUUCAGGCAGGAAGUUUAAAAUAAACGUUAACUAUUGUCUUCUUCUUCCUUUUCAGAUUGGUUUUCCCUCCAAACUGUGCUUUGAAUUCUGUUAUCUCCAAGGUUGGAGCUGGAGCGGGAGUUGGGAUUACACAAAGUGUGGAGGAAGGCACAACUUUUUAGCUGGUGGAUACGGUAUCAGCUCUGUGGGCUCAAUAGAAUUCUCAAGGCCUUGGUUUUCAACCAAGUGGAACAGAUUUCUUUCUUUACUGCAGGACUGCACUCAGUCUUACUAUAUUAAUGCACAGUGUGAACUGCCUAAUGGGAAGAUUGCUGGGACUAUAAUUUUGACUUGACCGGAACUCUUAUCUCAUGGUCAAGAUUGCAAGACUAGGAUUCCAGUGAGAACAUUUUAGCAAAUGCUGGCCUGAGUAUAUGGUCAAGUACACACUCUUUUGUGGAGCAUUAAUCUGUUUGCAACCAACUCAUUCAGUCUUACUUCCCGUUGGUCCCUAUUCCCAAGAGAAAUAUUUUUGAGGUAUCAGUUAUUCCACCUCCAAGCCUUUGCUCAUGCCAUUCUACCUGCUUGAAAUGCCUUCCCCCCUUCCCUUCUUCUCUGAACUCACCCAGCUUUGCCCAUCUGGCUCACGCCCACAGGGAGCUUUUCCUGCCCACAGUGAUCUUUCUCAGACCUCCCGAUGACUGGGCCACUCAUGGGGACUCUUGAUCACAUCCCGCCUAGCUUUUUUCUAUAUUUUCCCCAAAGUUGCUCUGCUCUGCUUUUGUAAUGGGAUAGUUAGUGGAAGGCUCUGAUAUCCUAGACUUUUUAAAAAGUCCCCUGAUGCAUUGAGUUGUGUGCAUAGCUCCUGCUUAUAAACCCCUGUUGAAUUCAGCUAAAGUAAAUUAAUAGCCAUUUAUAUCAGCUCACUUAAAUGUUAACUCUCCACUUAUCCAGGCACCAAGAACAAAGGUCGGAAAGAGAAGUUUGUUCACAGUUCCUGACUGAACGGGGAGAAGACAUUUAAUGGAAACAUGAACCUCAUGCCUGGGUCUCCUGGAACUUGUAGCUGAACCUAGGAGUUUGUGGCCAAGCCUACCAACCACAUCCCCCAACGAUUUCUUCUCUUUUGGCACGUUGGUCUUGGAGUUGGGAGAGGAGAGCACCCAGUCCAUUCUUAUCUUUAAAGAGAGAAGAAACAGCGAAGUCUGUGACAUUCAGGUUUCUGUGCCCUCUCUCCUCUCGCUGGUCAUCUUGCCCAGCUCAGCAGACUGUGCAUACCCAGCUCACUAGCCAGAGAACUGGCUAGCUGAGGCAGCUGGUGAGUCAGGAAUGUGCUCAAGUGUGGUUGUCAAGAGUGGUACAGCCGAUCUCCCACAUCUUAGCCUUUUCUGAGCACCUGAGCCCUGCGGUAGCAUCAGACUGGGCGGCACAAACGGGCGUGCAGCCAGGAAUCAGUCGGUGGGAACACGACAUGCGCAGUUCUGCGGUGACCACACCCUGUAGCUUUCUGUCCUUUGUCCUCUCAGCAUACAUAGAUGGAGCAUCUACUAUAUAUCGGGCACUAGGGAUUCUUGGGGGAUACAGGUAUGAAUGUAACAUGAUCCUUGACCCAAGGAACUUCUAGUUUUCAUGGGAGACAAGCAUAUAAAUAAAACCUUCCAACAGACCCCUAGAUGUAAGCCAUAAUUCCUAGCCUGUGCUACUGACGGUGGUAGGAGUUGGGAUAGAGAUCCUACUAGAAGUCACAGAUUUGCAUUGCUCUGACUCCCACCCACAGAAGUCUAAGAGUUUCUAGGGUCUUCCAUAAGGUUAUGAAGACCUCUUGGCUGCCACAGUGCAACACAGGUCUUCUUCCUCUGUCUGCCCAUGCUCACUGUGGUCAGCAGUCCUGGAUCCGGUGACAUGUAGAUAUGAAUGCCCGCCCAAGGCACCCUGCACUGCAGAUACUGGCUGAAGGCACUAUAUACAUGUCUCCUCCCACUUCUGUGACAGGAGACAUGCCAACCACUAUGGCCAACUGCCCAAGCCCCCAUGACGAUUCUUUACUCAAACCUGUUUCAACAGUAACUUCAAGUGGGCCUGAGUCCUCUUCACCCCAACUUGAACUCCAUUCUGUUAACAACACUCCAGAGCUGUACUUCUUAAUGUAUAAGUCAAACUACAGUGGCAUUUGGGCUGCCCUAGUGCCUGCAACACUCCUGAACAUUGGAAACAGGCAUCGACUUCCUCCAGGUGGACGCAGCCCCAUGCAAGUGCGCAUGGCUCGACCACUGUCCUGCUGUCUUCAUGGCUUGUGGCCAGGGGAAGCUCAUCCCUACUGCCAGAAAUCCCUGGGGCACCUCCAUCCUCAAACUCAGCCCAAACCGAGCCAUGGCUUCAGAGAGGAGGAAGUUGUAUCCCUUCAUCUCAAUCCCAGGUCCUUAUUUCCUGUCCCAGAAUUUAUUUUUUGCCAGGAUGAUUAACAGUUGGAAUGUUACACCCUUUAGGAGAACCACACCCCCACCUACAAGAGGACUCGUCUGGCUAACAGGUUGACCACACAAAGAAGUGACGUCAAUAUAUUUUUUAAAGUUUGGUUUCCAAAGGCUAGGGAUACAGGUUUACCUGUGGGCUUUUUGUGACAAAACACUUAACAGAGAUCUCAGUGAAACGAGACCGUAAGUUGUUAAUGACUAUAGUCUCGACAGAACCCAUGAGGACUGAGCUACAGGAGAUCUUCAGACAGAGCUAAUAUAGCUCCUGUAUGUUCCAAAUGGGAAAUGAUGGGCAAAUUCUUAGGGCUCAAAAGAAGUGACUUUUGGUUCGAUGAAAUUAUGUAUUACUUCAUAUAGCGGAUGGUAGACUUGGGGGACUUUGGCAGGUGAACAAUGUUGGGUAAGAAAGGGCUAUGUGUAAAAAAUAAGCAACCUCUGAAUACAUACACAAACCCUUUUUUUUUUUUUUUUUUUUUUUUUUGCUACUCUCAAGGAUUCCUGAGAUGCUUUGGUGGAAUAGAAACUUCAAAGUGAUGCCAAGCAAGGUCCUAUAGUUUCUCGGGUGACCUGUUGUACAACCGUGCUAGAAAACUUCAAGUCUGUUAUUCAGAGAACUGAUAGACAGCCUGUCUUUGGAAGCAAAGACCUGGGUCUGAAUCUGGACUCAGCCACUUACUACCUCUGUGUUCUUGGUGAUAAAGGCAAUCCUAUUUUUUCCCCCUUUUCUUUAAAAAAUUUUUUUUUAAUGUUUAUUUAUUUUUGAGAGAGACAGAGACCGGGUGUGAGCAGGGGAGGGACAGAAAGAGAGGGAGACACAGAAUCCAAAGCA